CUCAUGUCAACUUUACAGCUUGUUGCUGCCUCCACGUGGCAAAACAAAUGAAUUAUUAUGGACCUGUUGCGCAGAAAAUACAUCUACAUUACAUUACAUUACAUCUACAUUACAGUUCAUUACAUUACAUUACAGUUCAUUACAUUACAUUACAUUACAGUUCAUUACAUUACAUUACAGUUCAUUACAUUACAUUACAUUACAUUACAUCUACAUUACAGUUCAUUACAUUACAUUACAGUUCAUUACAUUACAUUACAUUACAUUACAUCUACAUUACAGUUCAUUACAUUACAUUACAGUUCAUUACAUUACAUUACAUUACAGUUCAUUACAUUACAUUACAUUACAUUACAGUUCAUUACAUUACAUUACAGUUCAUUACAUUACAUUACAUUAUAUUACAUUACAUCUACAUUACAGUUCAUUACAUUACAUUACAGUUCAUUACAUUACAUUACAUUACAGUUCAUUACAUUACAUUACAUUACAUUACAUUACAGUUCAUUACAUUACAUUACAGUUCAUUACAUUACAGUUCAUUACAUUACAUUACAUUACAGUUCAUUACAUUACAUUACAGUUCAUUACAUUACAUUACAGUUCAUUACAUUACAUUACAUUACAUUACAUUACAUCUACAUUACAGUUCAUUACAUUACAUUACAGUUCAUUACAUUACAUUACAGUUCAUUACAUUACAUUACAUUACAUUACAUUACAGUUCAUUACAUUACAUUACAGUUCAUUACAUUACAGUUCAUUACAUUACAUUACAUUACAGUUCAUUACAUUACAUUACAGUUCAUUACAUUACAUUACAGUUCAUUUAGCUGACGCUUUUGUCCAAAGCAACGUACAAUCUACACAGGAGGGAACACAAUUUAGCUUCAACAUGUUUUCCCUCUAUUCAACAUUCAAGUUAAGGUAAUCACAAAUAAUUCUACAUUUAUAAGAAAGUGACUUUGAUUUUAUUUUUUACAUCCAAAACCCCCAAAUAUUGCACAAGGAGCAGGAACCUGAUUUUA
rnacentral:lncRNA from 1 species